GCCGUUUGCGUGGCCGCCUCCGCGUCGGGGCGCGCGAGCCCCGGCGGCGGCGGCGGUUGCGCAGUGGAGCUACAUCCGGGCACUGGGGCAGGAUGAAUGCUCCUUUCCAAGAUGGCGGCGGAGGGAGGAGGGAAGGAGAUGAACGAGAUUAAGACCCAGUUCACCACCCGGGAGGGGCUGUACAAGCUGCUGAGCCACUCGGAGUACAGCCGGCCGAACCGGGUGCCCUUCAACUCGCAGGGCUCCAACCCGGUCCGUGUUUCCUUCGUCAACGUCAACGACCAGAGCGGCAACGGGGACCGGCUCUGCUUCAAUGUGGGCCGGGAGCUCUACUUCUACAUCUACAAGGGGGUCCGCAAGGCUGCGGACUUGAGUAAACCAAUAGACAAAAGGAUAUACAAAGGAACACAACCUACAUGUCAUGACUUCAAUCACUUAACAGCCACAGCAGAAAGUGUCUCUCUCCUAGUGGGCUUCUCUGCAGGCCAGGUCCAACUUAUAGACCCUAUUAAAAAAGAAACUAGCAAAUUAUUUAAUGAGGAAAGACUAAUAGACAAGUCCAGAGUAACCUGUGUAAAAUGGGUACCAGGUUCGGAAAGCCUUUUCCUAGUAGCUCAUUCCAGUGGCAAUAUGUACUUAUAUAACGUGGAGCACACUUGUGGUACCACAGCCCCGCACUACCAGCUACUUAAACAAGGAGAAAAUUUUGCAGUUCACACUUGCAAGAGUAAAUCCACAAGAAACCCUCUGCUUAAAUGGACAGUAGGUGAGGGUGCCCUGAAUGAAUUUGCCUUUUCCCCAGAUGGGAAAUACUUGGCGUGUGUGAGCCAGGAUGGUUUUCUUCGUGUGUUUAACUUUGAUUCGGUGGAAUUGCAUGGUACAAUGAAAAGCUACUUUGGAGGACUGCUGUGUGUGUGUUGGAGUCCUGAUGGAAAAUAUAUAGUAACAGGUGGAGAGGAUGACUUGGUAACAGUUUGGUCUUUUGUGGACUGUCGAGUAAUAGCUAGAGGCCACGGACAUAAAUCAUGGGUCAGUGUUGUUGCAUUUGAUCCAUAUACCACUAGCGUAGAAGAGAGUGACCCGAUGGAAUUUAGUGGAAGUGAUGAGGAUUUCCAAGACCUUCAUUUUGGCAGAGAUCGAGCAAAUAGUACACAAUCUAGGCUAUCCAAAAGGAACUCUACAGACAGUCGUCCAGUAAGCGUUACAUAUAGAUUUGGUUCAGUAGGCCAGGACACACAGCUUUGUUUAUGGGAUCUCACAGAAGAUAUCCUCUUCCCCCACCAACCUCUCUCAAGAGCAAGGACACAUACAAAUGUCAUGAAUGCCACAAGUCCACCCGCUGGAAGUGGUGGAGCUAACCCAGGAAGUAAUGGAAACAGUAUCACAACACCUGGAAACUCUGUACCCCCUCCUCUUCCACGGUCAAACAGCCUUCCACAUUCUGCAGUCUCAAAUGCUGGCAGUAAAAGCAGUGUCAUGGAUGGUGCCAUUGCUUCUGGUGUUAGUAAAUUUGCAACCUUAUCGCUACAUGAUCGGAAGGAAAGACACCAUGAAAAAGAUCACAAGAGAAAUCAUAGCAUGGGACAUAUAUCUAGCAAGAGCAGUGACAAACUGAACCUAGUUACUAAAACCAAAACGGACCCAGCUAAAACUUUGGGAACACCUCUCUGUCCCCGAAUGGAAGAUGUUCCCUUGUUAGAGCCUCUUAUCUGUAAAAAGAUAGCACAUGAAAGACUGACUGUGUUAAUUUUUCUUGAAGACUGUAUAGUCACUGCUUGUCAGGAGGGAUUUAUUUGCACAUGGGCAAGGCCUGGUAAAGUGGUAAGUUUUAAUCCUUAAUGCUGCAUCAAAGAACUAGAACUCUGAAUAGGUAGUUUUCUUGAAAUAUAAAUGAAUGUUGAAUAUAAAAUUUCUUUAUGCUUAAUGUAAAAAAAAAAAAAAAAAAAAAAUCCUCAGAGCCAUACUUUUGGAUACUGCAUGCCAUAUUUCUGAAUGAUUUGAAGUGUCUUGGAUACAAUUCUUAAGUAUAGCUGCCUUCCAGCAAGAGAAAUAAAUACUGUGCAACUAAACUAUUGAUUAGUGUUCUUAUACUUAAGCAUAACCACAAUAUGGUGAAAGCUAUUUAUGUAAAAGUUGAAGUAAAACAUGUCAGUCACUAAACUGAUUAUAAUCCUUCAAGUUUUCUACAAAGUAUUGCACUCCUUGUCAGAGUAGCUUAUGAAAAGCUGCUGCUUUUAAGUCUAACGAGAAAUGUGAGCUUCUGAAAAAUAAAAAAACCAAAGUGUUUUAUUCCUCCACACUUUUCUGUGGUGGUCUGCCAUUAAUGUAAAGCCACUCCUUAUUAAAAUGUCAGCUAUUUUAUGAGCAGAUUUUUCAGUCCUUUACUGACUGUAGUUUGUGCUCUUUAAAUUUUGAGUCAAUCCAUGAGACAAUACAGUGCUAUCAAGGAACUCUAACUUUAGCCAGGUCCUGAUUGAUGUAUACUUGGUUAAACUAGGGAAAGCCAUCCAAGCUUUCUCUAAAUAGCUUCAGUUUUACUUCAUUGACACUUUUGUUAGUUAAACUUGAUCAUUGACAAACUCUUUCUUGACAGCAGCUCUUCUCUCAGUAGAGCUUUCAUUAAAAUGUACUUCUAGUUUUAGCUUUUACUGUCGAUUCACUUAAACACAGAUAAAAUGUUUUUUUCUGUAGUCCAAUGUAUAGCAAGCUAAAUUUUGAAUGAAUCUAAAAGUGGUGUUUAAUUUAUAAAAAGUAGUUUGUGCUACAAAUGGCUUUGUUUGCCAGUAACGUUUUAAAGGAAUACAGCUAUGAAAACACUACCAAAGUUGUUCUACUGCAAAAGAUCAUUAUUUUUGUGAAACUUUCUGAAGUUCUGAGGCCUAGAGGUUACCAUCUGAAGAAAAAUACUCUAGUAAUACUUGAAUAUUGCCACAUUGGACAAUGUAAUGAAAAGCUGAUGUUCCUUAGUCUUAAACCAUUUGAUUUGCAAAUCUCCUUUUUGAAGUGGAGAUAGUAUGUAUGUUUAACACUAAAAUACUACAUCUUCACUGGAGUGAAAUCUUAAGUAAAACUUGAUUUUUUUCUUAAAACAGUUUGUAUAAUGCAGGUUUCUUUGAGAUGUUCUCAAAUUUGUCACAGUGUAUGUAUGCACAGAGAACCAUGUCCACUCUGCAUCUUGAUGCAUAUUUGAAGGUUGAAUCUAAAACUGAAAAUUGUAAAUCCUUUUCUGGGGAGAAGAGAGGAAGGUAUUACUUUAAAAGUUAAGAUUUUUUUGUGUAAGAACUUCAGAUUCAUCUUUAAAAAAAACAAAAACAAAACAAAACUGUCCUAAAUGAAAAUACUAAAGCCGUCGUCACUUCUGUGACUCAGUGCAAUUCAUGCUUAGGAAUUAACUUUAUAUACAUAGAGCAGUGCCUCAGAUUUCCUUUGUAACCUAUUUUGUUUUUGUUCCAAAACUUUGUGUACCACUCAACACUACACUGUUAAACUUAUUUUCAGUGGCUGAGGUGGGUUAUGUUAGACUGGCUGUAACUUAAACACAGAGGUUUUUUUGUGUAUUGACUUUGAUUUGGAAUAUGACAUUUCAAAUAUUUCAGAGAUAAAGUAUGCAGUACCAAAAAUCAGGAUUUAUGUAUUGGCCAAUAUGGAAAACUUUAAUUACAGGGUUUAUUGUCAUCCCAAAACCAGGCCAAUUCUCCAAGUGGAACUGUAGUAUAGCCAUCACACUACUGCUAGCAAAUCUCUGAAUACAGGACAAGAAGUAAUGACAGUGGAACCAGGAGCUGUUCUUCAGGCAAAGAGCAUCACAAAUUAUAAUGUGGCAGAGUGUAAACAUGGAAUUAUGUGAAUCACAUAGUAAUUUGCAAAGGAAUAAUGUGAUGAGUUCUUAUUACAGCUAAUACUGCUAGGCUGCUCACCCAAGGAAGAAUUCUCAUUAAAAAAAAAAAAAAAAAAAAAAAAGCUUCCUUUGGUACUGCAGAAAAAAUAGUAACUUUUUGGUUUUCUUUAUACUUUUCAAGUCCAGUGUAAUUUAAUCUAUAUAUAUAAAUAUAUAAAUAAAAGAUAUAUAUAUAGUGUAAAAUAAAGUAUGUUUCUUAAAUUCAAGUAAGCUCAAUGGUUAAAUUAGUACUUCACCAUUGUUUAUUUUGCACUGAUUUUUUUUUUAACCAGAGAUGGCUAGAAGACAGCCUGGAAUGCACUCAUGGAAAAUGAAAGUCAUUAUUUUCUGGCUACAAAAUGUUAUUCAGGAAGAUGGAUGCUGCAAUCAUAGAUUUUUUAAAAACAGAAUUGUUUUGCACUUAAUAGUUUAAUGCUAAUAGAGAAUUACUUUAAAAUUGGUGUCCAUACACCAAAAAAGCUAUGUUGUGGAGAAAAGAACCUUUGUAUCUAUUAAACAUUUAUUUUAAUAUUGUUGUUUCCAACUGCAAUCAACUCUGUAUUAUAUGUACAAAUAAUGUAAUUGAGUGAUGGGGGAGGGGAGUAAUGGAUUGUUACACUAGAAAUUCUCAUCCAUCAUUUAAGAAAGUGAUAUUUCUAAUUCAGAAAAUACAUAUUAAACUACCUUGAAUAUGCAUUUUGUUUACUUUCUGUUCAAAUUUGAUCAUUUUUGAUGUAAUCAAUCCUUUGUUGAAUUAAAUGUUUGGUACAGAAAUAUAAUCUAAACUUUGUAGAACAAAUUCCUUUUCAAACUUCUUACC